rnacentral:rRNA from 1 species
UACGGAGGGUGCAAGCGUUAUCCGGAUUCACUGGGUUUAAAGGGUGCGUAGGCGGGUAUAUAAGUCAGUGGUGAAAGCUCCGGGCUUAACUUGGAAAUUGCCAUUGAUACUGUAUAUCUUGAAUAUCGUAGAGGUUAGCGGAAUGUUGCAUGUAGCGGUGAAAUGCUUAGAUAUGUUACAGAACACCAAUUGCGAAGGCAGCUAACUAUGCGAUGAUUGACGCUGAGGCACGAAAGCGUGGGGAGCAAACAGG